rnacentral:rRNA from 1 species
AACGAACGCUGGCGGCAUGCCUAACACAUGCAAGUCGAACGAGACCUUCGGGUCUAGUGGCGCACGGGUGCGUAACGCGUGGGAACCUGCCCUUAGGUUCGGAAUAACUCCCCGAAAGGGGUGCUAAUACCGGAUAAUGUCUUCGGACCAAAGAUUUAUCGCCUUUGGAUGGGCCCGCGUUGGAUUAGCUAGUUGGUAGGGUAAAAGCCUACCAAGGCGACGAUCCAUAGCUGGUCUGAGAGGAUGAUCAGCCACACUGGGACUGAGACACGGCCCAGACUCCUACGGGAGGCAGCAGGGGGGAAUAUGGGACAAUGGGCGAAAGCCUGAUCCAGCAAGGCCGGGUGAGUGAUGAAGGCCUUAGGGUUGUAAAGCUCUUUUACCCGGGAUGAUAAUGACAGUACCGGGAGAAUAAGCCCCGGCUAACUCCGU